GGGAUUCCCCUAGUAACUGCGAGUGAAGCGGGAAAAGCUCAAAUUUAAAAUCUGGCGGUCUCUGGCCGUCCGAGUUGUAAUCUAGAGAAGUGAUGCCCGCGCUGGACCGUGUACAAGUCUCCUGGAAUGGAGCGUCAUAGAGGGUGAGAAUCCCGUCUCUGACACGGACUACCAGGGCUUUGUGGUAUACUCUCAAAGAGUCGAGUUGUUUGGGAAUGCAGCUCUAAAUGGGUGGUAAAUUCCAUCUAAAGCUAAAUAUUGGCGAGAGACCGAUAGCGAACAAGUACCGUGAGGGAAAGAUGAAAAGAACUUUGGAAAGAGAGUUAAACAGUACGUGAAAUUGCUGAAAGGGAAACGCUUGAAGUCAGUCGCGUUGGCCGGGGAUCAGCCUCGCUUUUGCGUGGUGUACUUUCUGGUUGACGGGUCAGCAUCAAUUUUGACCGCUGGAAAAAGGUCGAGGGAAUGUGGCAGCUCCGGCUGUGUUAUAGCCCUUGGUCAUAUACAACGGUUGGGAUUGAGGAACUCAGCACGCCGCAAGGCCGGGUUUCGACCACGUUCGUGCUUAGGAUGCUGGCAUAAUGGCUUUAAGCGACCCGUCUUGAAACACGGACCAAGGAGUCUAACAUGCCUGCGAGUGUUUGGGUGGAAAACCCGAGCGCGUAAUGAAAGUGAAAGUUGAGAUCCCUGUCGUGGGGAGCAUCGACGCCCGGACCUGAACUUUUGUGACGGACCCGCGGUAGAGCAUGUAUGUUGGGACCCGAAAGAUGGUGAACUAUGCCUGAAUAGGGUGAAGCCAGAGGAAACUCUGGUGGAGGCUCGUAGCGAUUCUGACGUGCAAAUCGAUCGUCAAAUUUGGGUAUAGGGGCGAAAGACUAAUCGAACCAUCUAGUAACUGGUUCCUGCCGAAGUUUCCCUCAGGAUAGCAAAACUCGUAUCAGAUUUAUGUGGUAAGGAAAGAUAGAGGCCUUGGGGUUGAAAGCA
rnacentral:rRNA from 1 species